rnacentral:tRNA from 1 species
GGAGGGAUGCCUGAGUGGCCGAAAGGAACAGUUUGCUAAACUGUCGUACUGGUAACGGUACCGAGGGUUCGAAUCCCUCUUCCUCCG